rnacentral:rRNA from 1 species
ACGCUCGACACCUACGGGAGCAGCAGUGGGGAAUAUUGCACAAUGGGGGAAACCCUGAUGCAGCAACGCCGCGUGAGUGAAGAAGUAUUUCGGUAUGUAAAGCUCUAUCAGCAGGGAAGAAAAUGACGGUACCUGACUAAGAAGCCCCGGCUAACUACGUGCCAGCAGCCGCGGUAAUCUGAGGCGGGCUGGCAAGGC